rnacentral:rRNA from 1 species
GUGGGGAAUAUUGGACAAUGGGGGGAACCCUGAUCCAGCCAUGCCGCGUGUGUGAAGAAGGCCUUUUGGUUGUAAAGCACUUUAAGCGAGGAGGAGGCUACCGAGAUUAAUACUCUUGGAUAGUGGACGUUACUCGCAGAAUAAGCACCGGCUAACUCUGUGCCAGCAGCCGCGGUAAUACAGAGGGUGCAAGCGUUAAUCGGAUUUACUGGGCGUAAAGCGCGCGUAGGUGGCCAAUUAAGUCAAAUGUGAAAUCCCCGAGCUUAACUUGGGAAUUGCAUUCGAUACUGGUUGGCUAGAGUAUGGGAGAGGAUGGUAGAAUUCCAGGUGUAGCGGUGAAAUGCGUAGAGAUCUGGAGGAAUACCGAUGGCGAAGGCAGCCAUCUGGCCUAAUACUGACACUGAGGUGCGAAAGCAUGGGGAGCAAACAGGAUUAGAAACCCCGGUUAGUCC